rnacentral:rRNA from 1 species
UUGAUGAAUUCAUAGUCAAACGAGGCGAACCGGGGGAACUGAAACAUCUCAGUACCCCGAGGAAAAGAAAUCAACCGAGAUUCCCCCAGUAGCGGCGAGCGAACGGGGAGCAGCCCAGAGUCAGCAUCAAUAUUUACCGCAGGAGAAGGGUCUGGAAAGGCCGGCAAUAAGGGGUGAUAGCCCCGUAUCUGAAGCGGUAAGUGUUGUGAACUCAAAGAGUAGGGCGGGACGCGUGUUAUCCUGUCUGAAUAUGGGGGGACCAUCCUCCAAGGCUAAAUACUCCUGACUGACCGAUAGUGAACCAGUACCGUGAGGGAAAGGCGAAAAGAACCCCGGCGAGGGGAGUGAAAUAGAACCUGAAACCGUGUACGUACAAGCAGUGGGAGCACCCGAAAGGGUGUAACUGCGUACCUUUUGUAUAAUGGGUCAGCGACUUAUAUUCUGUAGCAAGGUUAACCGCAUAGGGGAGCCGUAGGGAAACCGAGUCUUAACUGGGCGUUAAGUUGCAGGGUAUAGACCCGAAACCCGGCGACCUACCCAUGGGCAGGUUGAAGGUUGGGUAACACUAACUGGAGGACCA